GAAAAUCAUAACUCUCAAUCCACAAAUGAUAAAUGCACAAACUUUAUAUGGAAAUGAAGGUCAAUGUGUCUAGUUUCACCACAAAAAAUUUCAGGCUCAAAGGAUAUGACAUGAGUAUUUCACAAAGAGAAUGGCACAAGGUAUCAUUUUGGCAUACAUGUUGGGAAAUCAAUUAUCAUUUAAAAUCCAGCCACUGAAAAAUUAAUUAAAAUUCACAAUAAAAUAGAGGACACAUUCAUGAGUUUAAUGCA
rnacentral:lncRNA from 1 species